CCCUUAGAUGUUCUGGGCCGCACGCGCGCUACACUGAUGCAUUCAACGAGCCUAUCCUUGACCGACAGGUCCGGGUAAUCUUUGAAUCUGCAUCGUGACGGGGAUAGAUUAUUGCAAUUAUUAAUCUUCAACGAGGAAUGCCUAGUAGGCGCAAGUCAUCAGCUUGCGUCGAUUACGUCCCUGCCCUUUGUACACACCGCCCGUCGCUCCUACCGAUUGGGUGUGCUGGUGAAAUGUUCGGAUCGGCCGUUUGUCGCGGUUUCCGCGUCAUGUGGCUGAGAAGUUCAUUAAACCCUCCCACCUAGAGGAAAGAGAAGUCGUAACA
rnacentral:rRNA from 1 species